UCAGUUAGGUAGAUAGGUAGUUUUAGUAAAUUUUAAGCCAAAAUGUUAUAUUAAUAUAAUAUUAAUCACUACACCCCGAGGCCAGAAGCGCGAGUCUUGAGAGUUCACAUAAAAAUAACGAAUUGUUUCGUAUAGUUUCUUCACGACAAAUAGAUUUUGAAAUCAUGGAAUAAAUGCAGUAAGGAUAGGCUUGGAUGUUAUAUUAAUGAUCAAGGGAAUUAUGCUUCCGUUAAUGGCUGUUCAUUGAGAGUUUGAGACAGACAUUCAAGAUUGCCGCAAGUUAGCUCUAUUAUUGUGAACAGUACCAUGCAACAUUCUUAGAUUUUUCUUUCUGAUAUUGUAACUUUAUUAUGAGUACUAGCUAUUUAAUUGUAUUCAGUGAGCUAGAGAUACCGAUAGUACUGCUACAUUGACUAUUUGUAAGUCAUAUGACACUUAAGUUACACUAUUUCAGGAACCUAACCCCCCACAGCUCCACGUGGGGUCUCAUAUAUAAUAUAUUUUUUUAUUUUAUUUUAUAAAUAUUUUUAUUACUUGCCUCCUUGGGUGCUAGUAACAUAUUUCAUUAUGACAAUGGUACCUGAGAAUGAUAAUAUUAACAACUGUGGAUCUGGAUUGGUCAUGGAGAAAGCAGAGCAACAAAAGAUUGAGACCUCAAGCAAUGAGAAGAGACCUGGUACUGUUGAGUACCUGAGAGUCCAUGGCACUACUGAAUGCCCUGCAAAGAGUGAACAACUACCAACCCUUAAUAACUUAGGUCACCCUGCAAACUUCCAGAAACACCCUAAAGCCCCUAAGAAGAAACGGAAGCCCAGAAUUCGUCAUGCCCCAUAUUCAAAAUACCCUGUAUUUGCCCCUGCUACCCUGAGCCUUCCAGGUGCCACAUGUCCCAACCCUUCAAGAGCCCAGGCCUUGCUGCCAAGAAACUUCCAUUCCAACAUUGCCCUGGCCUUAGAUUUUAUGACACAUAUCAAUUAUGAUGAAUUGAAUAACUUUGGCCGUAAACUAAGGGAAACAGUAAACAACCCCCAAGCUCGUCUCCGUGCUACUUCUGAGCAGUUGGGAGCUAUCAGUGCCAUAGUAUGCUACUCAAUCCCUCCUGAAUUCUCAUUAUAAUAACAUUUGAGUUAUCAACACAUACUACACAAUGGCAUUUAAGCUAUACAAGACACCAUACCACCAUUGUCGACAAAGAUGAGGUCUAUUGUUUUUCACCACUGGCACUCACCUUUAAGUAUGAUGUGGAGUGGAAAAGAUAAAUAAUGGAAAUACUGGAAGAUCACUCUGGCUGCCCAGAUAAUGCAGUACUGUUAUUAAAUAAAAUUACAGAUCAGUGUCGAGAUACACAUAAGCAUUACUCAUUAGCAGAUACAGUCAUUAAGGUCUGCUGUAUGAGUACCAAAUGUACAUAUAAAGAUCAUUGCUGAUAUAAAAAUCCAGGAACAAAGGCUCACCAUAAAAUUUGAGCAUGUUGAGCAAACAAAAUAUCAUAAGGCAAGCAAGAAUGGUAAACAAUUAUUAUAAUAGUACAGCAAAACAAAUCAAAGGGAGCUAAAACCUUAAAGUAGAAUAACAUCAUAAGUUUGUGAUUGUAUAAUUGAAAUGUUUAAGUGCCAAACAAAUAAAUGUGUGAAUUAAAUAAACUUAAUCAUUUUGAAAAUAUUCAAGUUUCCAGCUGGUGAUGAUUUGAAAAAAGAUUUAGCUAGAAAAUGUUUUUUUCAGUGGAAUAGAAGGGUAGAUGCCUUUCAGACACCAACUUCAAAUAUUAUGUUUUUUUUAUUUGGUCAUACAUAUAACUUUCUGAAAGUGAGUUUUGUUCAAGCCAGUUUUUAAUAUGGAUCACUUUAUGCAGUUUUCAUGUGUGAUUCAAAAAUUUGUGUUGAAAAAUAAAAAUUUUUAGUUUUA